UACGGGGGGGGCAAGCGUUGUUCGGAAUUACUGGGCGUAAAGGGCUUGUAGGUGGCCAACUAAGUCAGACGUGAAAUCCCUCGGCUUAACCGGGGAACUGCGUCUGAUACUGGAUGGCUGGAGUGUGGGAGAGGGAUGCGGAAUUCCAGGUGUAGCGGUGAAAUGCGUAGAUAUCUGGAGGAACACCGGUGGCGAAGGCGGCAUCCUGGACCGGCAUUGACGCUGAGGAGCGAAAGCCAGGGGAGCAAACGGG
rnacentral:rRNA from 1 species